GAGGUGGUGGGACUUAACGGGACUGUAAGUCUGUUAAUUAUUGUAAGAAAAUCUUGUCCCCUCCAGCAAGAGCACAUUGACGGCAGCACUGCUCACUGACCUGGGACAUCCUGCUCCGAGUCACACAUCACCCCUGCCAGUACGUCGUUCCAGGAUGGCUGAUGCAGGCAUGGAGGGGUUCGGAGCCACACACACCAAUUUGGACUGAAGCUGGAGCGGCUUCAGAAGGCGGCUGGUUGCUGGGUUCUGUGCAAUGCCGACCUGAAAUGGCCCUUGUACGGCAGGGAGCCAGCUGGCUUGGGAGGUUGAUUUAUUUUGACAGAAAUUCAGCUCGUCUACACUCCUUUUCCCGGAGAGAUUCUUACAGGUAACUCUAGACUCAGCUCUGCCACUGCCUCGCCGGAUAACCUUGGGCAAGUCACUUCCUCACCCCGUGCCUCAGUUUCCCCAGCUGUACAAUGGAGCUAAUGAUACUGACCUCCUUUGUCCAGCACUUUGGAUCUGCUGUUGCAAAGCGAUGUAUAAGAGCUAGGAUUACUAUCAAUAAAGUUAUGACAUCAAAGCACCA